CAUAACAAUAUUUAGUCGGUAUAUACUUCAACAGAUACAUCCUGUUCAGCAAUUGUGCAGAUUAUGUCCCUUGAAGGAAGUUUUUUUGCUAACAACAGAUAAAAUGAUCUUUUCCCACUCUGACGGAAGCGCAUAUAAAAUAAUCCUAUAACAUUGUUGUAUUGAACUUGUGUCUAUCUCAGGUAAGGUAUCAUGGACAAUUUUCACAAUAAUAUGUUCAGACAUGAAUUUGGGAAUGACUUCCAAACAAAUAUGUUUAAUACAAAUAAUCCCACUCGAAAUGAACGAUUGAAAAAUGAGAGUUUUUCCAUUAAAUGUAAUCAGUGGAUUUUUAAACAGUGGUUGAAUCAUAGUGUCCAUUAUAUUCCGAAGUAAUGGUAUUUUUCCUUCAUUAAUUUCGUUCCAUGCAGCGAAAAGCCCAGCAUAAAAGGGCUUAUAUUCUGUAAAUAAGAUUAAUUAUAUUCAAGAGAUAAGGCAUGAAUUCCCAAGUUCAUUGUCAAAAGAUGAGACAUAAAAUAUUCCAUGGUUUGUUUCCAAAUACAGUUGAGAUGACUAUUACCGAAAGCUCUCAGCAAUUUUAGCCUCAAUGCAUAUUUUUUAAAACGUAAGAUUGGUAAAUUUAAACCUCCAUCUACACAAACACCAAUGCAAGUAUCAAAUGCUAUUUUGGCAGUCUUAUUGCGCCACAACAAAUUCCUAAACAUCUGAGCAAAUUUAUUUUCAACCCACUGUGGAACAGGUAUUACAGUAAACAUAUACCACAAUCGAGAGCUCAUAAGUAUAUUUAUUACAAUGGCUCUGCCUUGUAAAGUGAGCUGUCAGCGAAGCCAAGAAUUUAAUAAUAGUUUGCAUUUUUUGUAUUUUCUUUUAGCAAUUUAAUGUUUCACACAUUGUUUUAUCCGUACCAAAGUAAAUGCCUAGUAUUUCUAUACAAUCUCUUAACUUUAACUGGGA